rnacentral:tRNA from 1 species
GGGGCUUUAGCGCAGUUGGUAGCGCGCUUGAAUGGCAUUCAAGAGGUCAGGGGUUCGACUCCCCUAAGCUCCACCA